UAAGAUUAGCAGUCUAUCAAUAAGAGCAGGUGACACAAUAUCCCAACAUUCAUUGCUGGGACUUGGCUUCACUUCAAACUAGAUUGAUGAGGUAACAUUACCCACAAUAUCUCCAAGUUUUAACUCAAGAGGUGCAAAGUCAAUUUACUUAAGGAUUGAAUUCAUGGGAGAAUUGAAAAACUUACAUGGAGUAUUAAGAGAAAGAUGUGGGAAAUUAUAAAAUCUCACUGUGGAGCUGCAGUGAAAGAAAGCCACUAGCCACAUUGAGGUUUGAUACUACCUUUUAUUCCUGCCAUUUAUCCUGGUACUGCUGUCAUUAUCAGGCAAAGUGGCCAUUCUAAAUGCCUGAGCUCAUAUCUGUGUUGGUUGAUUGUAUAACUGUGGAGGCUUCACCAAAACCUUUAAGUGUAACCAAAAACAAGAUUUGAGGCAUGAGGUUGAAGCUCACUUUGUUUUGUUUAUCCCACAGAGAGCCAAGUGGAGCUUGGGCCUAUCUGAGUACCCAUAGCUGGAGUGGGUGGAGUUAAAGGAGAAUUUGCUUAACGUGAGAAUGAGUUCAUCCAGGUGGAAGGGAUCUGUGGAGGGCCACCAGAUCAUCAUUGAGUGGCGGUGGGGGGGGGGGGGGGUGCAAAUGUAAAACGGUUGUAUGUCAAAGUCACACAGCAUAGAAAGAGAUCCUUUGGUCCACUAAGUCUGGACCAAUCAUUAACCUACUUGGCUGACAGCCAACUCCUCUUUGCGAAAUGGGAGGAAACAGCAACACUGGGAGACAAUGCAAACUCCACAUGGACAACAGCCAAGGUGAGGAUUGAACCCAGGUUUGUGUCACCUCUGUGUCACCUUUGUGGCCAUUGCAAGGACAAGGCUUUUUGGGCCAGGAGACUGGAAAGCAGCAUAGUAAAGGGGGGAAAAAAAUUAAGGUGGUAUGAGAGCAGGAUGAAACCCAGACAGAUCUGCUUGUGAAUCCCUAGGAAGAUCGUGCAGUGUGAACAGACUGUGGUGGGGAAAACUAUUCUGGAAGACACUUGGAUAAUCUGUGACUGCCUGUGGCCCAGAAUGGCUUAGAGAACUGCUUCUGGAGUUUAGUGCAGAAGGUAUGAGCAUUUACCUGAUUAACGAGUUCAGGUAUUCCAAGUGCCCGGUCAAUUUCCUCCAGUCCCAGUUCAUCAAUGUUUUUUAGUGCUGAACGUAACUGGUCUAGAAUGGCACCCUCAUCAUUUGUAGCUUCCGU